rnacentral:rRNA from 1 species
UACGGGGGGGGCAAGCGUUGUUCGGAAUUACUGGGCGUAAAGGGCUCGUAGGCGGCCAACUAAGUCAGAUGUGAAAUCCCUCGGCUUAACCGGGGAACUGCAUCUGAUACUGGAUGGCUUGAGUUCGGGAGAGGGAUGCGGAAUUCCAGGUGUAGCGGUGAAAUGCGUAGAUAUCUGGAGGAACACCGGUGGCGAAGGCGGCAUCCUGGACCGACACUGACGCUGAGGAGCGAAAGCCAGGGGAGCAAACAGG